rnacentral:rRNA from 1 species
UACGUAGGGUGCAAGCGUUAAUCGGAAUUACUGGGCGUAAAGCGUGCGCAGGCGGUGAUGUAAGACAGGUGUGAAAUCCCCGGGCUUAACCUGGGAACUGCAUUUGUGACUGCAUCGCUGGAGUGCGGCAGAGGGGGAUGGAAUUCCGCGUGUAGCAGUGAAAUGCGUAGAUAUGCGGAGGAACACCGAUGGCGAAGGCAAUCCCCUGGGCCUGCACUGACGCUGAGACGCGAAAGCGUGGGGAGCGAACAGG